AGAAUCAACGCUGGCGGCGUGCCUAACACAUGCAAGUCGCACGAGAAAGGGGAGCAAUCCCUGAGUAAAGUGGCGCACGGGUGAGUAACACGUGAAUAAUCUACCUCCGAGUGGGGAAUAACUGAGAGAAAUCUUAGCUAAUACCGCAUAACACUUACGAGUCAAAGCAGCAAUGCGCUUGGAGAGGAGUUCGCGGCCGAUUAGUUAGUUGGCGGGGUAAUGGCCCACCAAGACGAUGAUCGGUAUCCGGCCUUAGAGGGCGCACGGACACACUGGAACUGAAACACGGUCCAGACUCCUACGGGAGGCAGCAGUGGGGAAUUUUGCGCAAUGGGGGAAACCCUGACGCAGCAACGCCGCGUGGAGGAUGAAGCCCCUUGGGUGUAAACUCCUUUCGAUCGGGAAGAUAAAUGACGUACCGAUAUAAGAAGCCCGGCUAACUUCGUGCCAGCAGCCGC
rnacentral:rRNA from 1 species